GGCCGCCAGGCACGGGCCGCCAGCCCGCUGGCCCCAGCCUCGCGCGGCCUGUGCCCGCGGGCGCAGGGAGGCCACCAGAGACGGGCUCGCUGGGGGCGGAUGCCGCAAACCCUGGAAGAUGAGCACCUGAGCCCACAUCUCGCGUGUGCCGCCUUUCACCUGAGCAGUGGCAAGGAGCAUAGAGCGUAUCAGGCGGCCGCGACGGGGGCGAACGGCUGCACAACCCCGCCACGCUCCUCCGCGCUGUUAGUGUAGUGCUCAUCUUUAGAAAGCGGCCCGAGUGAACCCCUGGGGACUCAGAAGGGAGGAUUAACCUUUCCAGAAACACCACUGAAAUUCGGAAUACGGAAUGGCUGGAAAACACCGAAUCUGGACUUCUACUGCAUCCGCAGGCGAUGUGACAGAAACAGUGGAUCAAAGCUAACCACUACAUUCUGCAAAUUAUCUGGCUGCCUCAGAAGAGGUCUGUGAGAAGGCCAGAUGAACAUGUGCCUCAGACCACCAAGAGGAAGGGAGCUAAAGAGUUUUAAGAAGAGGAAAAGGACGGAGACUUAACAGGCAAAAGAAGAUGGACAAGAAGUAGAACAGAGUUGCCUGAGAGGAAGCCUGAACACAACCUCACCAAAUGCCACUGCUUGAUGCUUUGAAUUCUCUUUAUAGCUGGAGUUCUCUCAGCCCUCUCAGUCAAGUCCAAACUCGAGUCCUCAGCUAUUCAGUUCCUAACUAAACAGUUUUUUUCAGCUUCUAUUCCUACCAAAAUUGCUUCACCCUAAUAUAAUUGUACUGUACCAUAACAAUUUUAGCUACAAGUAUGAAAUAAAAAAUGUCCAGUUAGAGCACAAGGAUCCAGUUUGAGAUGUCCCAGGUAACUCAGCCUCUGGAGCAGCUCACUGUCUGGCCUUUUUUCUUUGUCCUGAAGAAAUGUAAAAUACUGCAAUAUGAAAAGACAGAGGCUUGAAGAGCUCUGUAUUUGAUACAGGGUGACUCUGACCUGAAAGUUAAUGGGUGCAGUUGCUUUUUCAUGAGCAAAGAAAGUGGCCUGUUGCACUCUAGCCCUGUUACUGGUUUGGUUUUGUCAUGGAGUUGCAGGCACUGUGUAAUGUAAAGGAAUGAGUACAGAACAAAAAUCUGUUCCUGCUUUUCACAAAGUAGUAUAGAUAGCUAUACAGGAGCCUAGAGCAACAGGGGCAGUACUAGUUACCAUCAACAGCUAAGAAGCUUUUUUUAAUGGGCAUUACAGUAAACAGAGUGGCCAAUGCUUGAUUGUCCUGGACAUCACUUUCCAGAUCUACUUCUGUGGCCAUGGCUAGACUUGAGAAAACAAGAUACAGGGCUUAGGAAACCAGUAACAGAAUAGAAUAAUAGCUGAAACUCUCAAUCAAGAUUUUCCAGACCUGUAAAAGUAGCAGGAAGAGCCAGUGCUUCCUGUCCAGAGCUCGAACAAAAAUAAAGGAAACAGAAAAGCAGUUCUAGAGGAGAAAAGCACUCCAGCGUUAUUUCUUCCUUCAUAUAGGAAACCUGCUAAUAACUCCUUCCCAAAAGAGCAGUUUCCUACAUCAUUAGUAAUCACAUUGUGCUGUACAAAAACAUUUGGAAGUCAUCCAUCACAGCACUUUUUCCAUCAUAAUUGAGACAGCAAAUGUAAAUGCAAAUACAGCAUCCUCCUUCUAUAGCAUACAUGUAUUACAUUUUUACUACAAAAAGUCUUCUCUGAAGUGAGCUGGACCCAACCCACUCUCCUGAAACAGGCCUUUUAAGAAAGAAGAAUCAAGCAAACAACAGCAGAUUAGUUAGGACUGGGAGGUAUUUAUCUUCCAAUUCGGAUAAAGCCCUGGCUGUUAUUUCUUCUGCACAUAAGCGUUAUCACUUAGACAAAUGUUUCCUGAAGAGCUCUGACUCAGAGCAGACCUUCAAGAAGGAUCCUCCAGGGAGACCAGGAAUGACGAUAGCUGUAUGGCUCAGGAAAGUGAACUGGAAGUCUUAAACAUUAGAAGUGAACAGGAAGCUUAAAAAGAGGCAGGUUAGAUGUAAAGGGUGGGAAAAACCCUUAUUUUUCCUUGGCAAAGCUGAAAACUGCGUAGAGGCAUGUCUCAAGAGCCUAUGCAUUCUAGGCUGGGAUCAGGUCCCAUCUUUGGUCAGCACUUACUUCAUUCUCACUUAACUUACUGGAGAACUAAGAUCUUCUCCUCCAAUUAGGUGAUGGUUGCAUUUCCCUUUAUCUUAGUAGACAGCAAAAUUGUGUCAGUGAUUUGCAGCUGUUUUCAGGUGAAGUGAGAGACUUUCCAAUGAUGACAAGAAACUGCUUUUCCCUCAUUUGGUAGAGCGUCUGGAAACUGUCAGCAGACUUCAAGAGAUGCACAAAUGAAAUCAAUUCUCAAAGGAAUGUGUAUGUCACUUCAGGCAUGCUUCUGUUUAUAUGAGAUGGGAGUCAAAGUUCUGAGGUUUCAGUGAAAUAUAUACCAGUACAAAAAUGAGGGUGUUUUGUUUUCAACACAAAUGGCUUGUUUGAAUGUACAGGGCAAGCCUAGAGGGGAGAGAAAGAGGAUACAGGUGACACAAAACACCUGAUCCUGAAAGUGUCUUCAGUUAAAAGGCUUGGCAGGUCUCUCUCUUGUCUGUUCUAUGGAAAGGGUUCAUUUUGGUGCUCUCAUCUUUUUUGGCUGCUUUUUUACCAUUGUCCACCAGGACUUGUCAGGACGGUGCACAGCAACAUUGCUCCAGGUGAAGGGCUUUGUUUGUCUGCAUAAGACAGGAACUGUAGUUGUUUCUUACAGUUAGGUUCUGAAAUGCCUGUGCAAUAGUUCUCAGUUAUUAUUAGAGAAAAAAAAUCUGAUUUCUUUCCCCAUUGUCCACAGGGACAUUUUUCUGGUAUCCCUCCCCUGUGUAGCCUGAACGUCACGGUGUACAUUUGCUCCCUGGGAUAUGUCAUACAUCAGCUGUGCCCCACGUAGAGCCCAUCUCUGUUUUUUAGGAUAGAAGCCUCUAUUCUAACAGAACACCACUCUCAGGAGGGCUGGUUGUUAACUCUUGUCUUCAUACGAGAUGCUGGUUUGUGUGGCCAUCUCAGUAGUUAAAGACUGUUUUUGAUUGAUUUGUGUAGCCUGUAUUUGGUUACAUGAGGAGAAUGACAGCAUAACAAAAAUUGACAGAUUUUUUUCAUCUGCAACAACAAAAUUACCAAGUGAUUGAUAAGGUGAAGGAUGUUCUCAGUAUUUCUACAAAGUUCAAUCUCCAGUUACUACAUUUUCAUCCUGAAGAGUGACUCAGGACAAAAAAUAAUCUCUGUAUGUUUCAGUCUGAGAGUGCAUAUUAAUGAUUAUUGUACUUGUGUUAACAGAUAUUACAUUUGUAAUGUGUUAAUGAAUAGCACAGUAUUAACAUUAAAUUUGUGUUUUCUGUAGUUGAAGGGACACGGAGCAGCUGGCACAAUCUUAAAUAUAUCUACAUU